rnacentral:rRNA from 1 species
GCCCGCUCAAGAAACUUAAAUGAAUUGACGGGGCCCGCACAAGCGGUGGAGUAUGUGGUUUAAUUCGAUGCAACGCGAAGAACCUUACCUGGUCUUGACAUCCCGGAGACCCUUAGGAAACUAGGGGUGCUUCCAUCUGGAAGAAUCUGGAGACAGGUGCUGCAUGGCUGUCGUCAGCUCGUGUCGUGAGAUGUUGGGUUAAGUCCCGCAACGAGCGCAACCCUUGCCUUUAGUUGCCAGCAGUUCGGCUGGGCACUCUAAAGGGACUGCCGGUGUUAAACCGGAGGAAGGUGGGGAGUGACGUCAAGUCCUCAUGGCCUUUAUGACCAGGGCUACACACGUACUACAAUGGCCGAUACAAAGGGCAGCGACACUGCGAGGUGAAGCCAAUCCCGUAAAAUCGGUACUCAGUCCGGAUUGGAGUCUGCAACUCGACUCCAUGAAGUUGGAAAUCGCUAGUAAUCGUGGAUCAGCAUGCCACGGUGAAUACGUUCCCGGGCCUU